rnacentral:misc_RNA from 1 species
UAUGAUGCGUUGGGGCAUGUUUCGCGAACGGACAUGUAGACACUCCAGAUCAGAAUAGCUUACCGUACAGUUCGUAAAAAGAGAGUUACGCCAUAUUAGCAUUCAGCAAGGAUAAAAAUUAGCGUGCGUUUUCGUAUAUCGGGACGAUCGUGUGCGAGAAUUCGAAGCGGCAGAAUUGUGCGAGGUGUGUGUAGGCUUGUGCCGCACACUUGGGCAAAAGGGACUGAAUUGUGUAAGGUUUGUCGGUUUGUGCCGCACACUUAGGCACAUCUGCGACCAAGAGAAGGUGCGUUCAAGUUAGAUUACGGAUCGAGCUACACUCCGUGGCUAUCAUAGGUGUACGCUAGUGCGUUCUCAAGGACAGAUAGCAGUGCGAACUAUAUUGCGUUCUAUUAACGGGUUGCAGCGAAACCGGAAGGUUUAGGAGACGGACCCCAUAAUAUAAAUACUCCAACUGCUACCGCUAGACCCAUGCCAGCAAACAUGACUAUUCGUUCUACGUCCAUCAUCUUAAGUUAUGGAAAUAAGUAUUAUAUCAAUUUAAAGACCAAGAUGCAAUGCAGCAAUGAUGGAGAUGAAGCUCAUAUCGUUAGAAGAAAAUUUUAUCAUCCUGUUUCACCGGCAGGAAAAGGUGCUAAAUGGUAAUGGUCUGGCGAUACAGAUGAUUGGCAUACUUAUGAUUACA